AUUGAACGCUGGCGGAAUGCUUUACACAUGCAAGUCGAGCGGCAGCGCGGCCUUCGGGCUGGCGGCGAGCGGCGAACGGGUGAGUAAUGCAUCGGAACAUGCCCAGUCGUGGGGGAUAACACUUCGAAAGAAGUGCUAAUACCGCAUACGUCCUGAGGGGGAAAGCGGGGGAUCGCAAGACCUCGCGCGAUUGGAGUGGCCGAUGUCAGAUUAGCUAGUUGGUGGGGUAAAGGCCUACCAAGGCGACGAUCUGUAGCUGGGCUGAGAGGAUGAUCAGCCACAGGGGGCCUGAGCACCGGCCCAGGGCCCUAGGGGAGGCACAGGUGGGGAAGUUUGGAAGAGGGGGGAAACCCUGACCAAGCCAUCCGGGGGGGGUGAAGAAGCCCUGCGGGUGGGAAAGCUCUUUCGGGGGGAACAAAAGGGUGGGCCCUAAAAGAGUCCGCAAAUGAGGGAACCGGAAAAAAAAGCACGGCUAACUUAGGG
rnacentral:rRNA from 1 species